rnacentral:rRNA from 1 species
UGGGGGAUAUUGCACAAUGGGCGAAAGCCUGAUGCAGCGACGCCGCGUGGGGGAUGAAGGCUUUCGGGUUGUAAACCUCUUUCGCUAUCGAACAAGGCCCGCUUAGGGUGGGUUGAGGGUAGGUGGAGAAGAAGCGCCGGCUAACUACGUGCCAGCAGCCGCGGUAAUACGUAGAGCGCGAGCGUUGUCCGGAAUUAUUGGGCGUAAAGGGCUUGUAGGCGGCUUGUUGCGCCUGCUGUGAAAACGCGGGGCUUAACUUCGCGCGUGCAGUGGGUACGGGCAGGCUUGAGUGUGGUAGGGGUGACUGGAAUUCCAGGUGUAGCGGUGGAAUGCGCAGAUAUCUGGAGGAACACCGAUGGCGAAGGCAGGUCACUGGGCCAUUACUGACGCUGAGGAGCGAAAGCAUGGGUAGCGAACAGG